UUCUGGUUGAUCCUGCCAGAGGUUACUGCUAUCGGUGUUCGCCUAAGCCAUGCGAGUCAUAUGUUCUUCGUGAACAUGGCGUACUGCUCAGUAACACGUGGAUAACCUGCCCUUGGGUNNGGGAUAACCCCGGGAAACUGGGGAUAAUACCGGAUAACGCAUAUCUGCUGGAAUGCUUUAUGCG
rnacentral:rRNA from 1 species